rnacentral:rRNA from 1 species
GCGUCCUUCUUUCCGGAGACCGCGCCUACUCUUAGCUGAGCGGGCGCGGGAGACGGAUCGUUUACUUUGAAAAAAUCAGAGUGUUUCAAGCAGGCAGCUCGCUCUUGCAUGGAUUAGCAUGGGAUAAUGAAAUAGGACUCUGGUGCUAUUUUGUUGGUUUCGAACACCGGAGUAAUGAUUAACAGGGACAGUCAGGGGCACUCGUAUUCCGUCGAGAGAGGUGAAAUUCUCAGACCAAUGGAAGACGAACCACUGCGAAAGCAUUUGCCAGGGAUGUUUUCACUGAUCAAGAACGAAAGUUAGGGGAUCGAAGACGAUCAGAUACCGUCGUAGUCUUAACCAUAAACCAUGCCGACUAGGGAUUGGAGGGUGUUCUAUUUGACCUCUUCAGCACCUUACGGGAAACUAAAGUCUUUGGGUU